GACGAACGCUGGCGGCGUGCUUAACACAUGCAAGUCGAACGGAAAGGCUCCAGCUUGCUGGAGUACUCGAGUGGCGAACGGGUGAGUAACACGUGGGUAAUCUGCCCUGCACUCUGGGAUAAGCCUGGGAAACUGGGUCUAAUACUGGAUAUGACCUUUCUCCUUAUGGGGUUUGGUGGAAAGUUUUUCGGUGUAGGAUGAGCCCGCGGCCUACCAGCUUGUUGGUGGGGUGAUGUCCUACCAAGGCGACGACGGGUAGCCGGCCUGAGAGGGUGAUCGGCCACAUUGGGACUGAGAUACGGCCCAGACUCCUACGGGAGGCAGCAGUGGGGAAUAUUGCACAAUGGGCGGAAGCCUGAUGCAGCGACGCCGCGUGAGGGAUGACGGCCUUCGGGUUGUAAACCUCUUUCAGCAGGGACGAAGCGUAAGUGACGGUACCUGCAGAAGAAGCACCGGCUAACUAUGU
rnacentral:rRNA from 1 species